CGCCUUCUCAGCAGCGUAAUCCUUAUACUCCCCACCCUUCUCCAUAGUCUUGUCCUUCGCUUCCUUCGCCUUCUGAGAAGCAUAAUCUGUGUACUCUCCAGCUUUUUCCAUUGCUGCAUCCUUUGUUUCCUUCGCCUUCUGGGCAGCAUAAUCUGCGUAUUCACCAGCCUUGGAACCGGUUUCGUCCGUGGCUAAAGAAUCGUAGAUCCCAGGAUUCUUGGAUACUGAUAUGUCUCUCACUUCCCCAGCAGUCUCGUCAUCGGGUUGGAUAUUAACAUCAUGAAUCACCUCUGUGGUGUGUGCUUUCGCAGGAACUGAUUCUUUCUUCCCAGCCACAGCCUCUUGCACCGCCUUUAACAUGGACCCUAUCACACCACGCUUUUCUUGAUCUUGAUCGUGUUGCUGAUCCACAACACUGACUUCAUCCACAACGCCCACAUCAUCACGCGCUCUCUCUCUGUUGGCUUGUUCAAGCUCUUUGG
rnacentral:lncRNA from 1 species